AGCAGCGGUUGGCAGAGCUGCUUCAUUCGCUCAUUUCCUUUGCUGUGAGCCAACAUUCCCAGUAGCGUCAGGACAAUUUUAGAAGCAAAAUGCACUCAACUGAACUUCGUCUAUGAAGAGAUGAACAGGUGCUUAUAGCUGAGUUUUCAAGUCCAUAUAUUACCUUGAUGGCUUUUUUUUUUUUUUUUCUGUCUGAAAUGGAGCAAUUUUUGAAUAUGGGCAUUUAGCCAAUCCCCGAAUCUCAGGAAGCAGUCCCUCCAGAAUUUGUUCAUUCUGGGAAGAAAUGGAAAAGCAGAGAAGAAGAUAGGAGCACGUCUGCAGCACACGGAGAUCGUCUUUCUUCGGAUCCUGACAUGCAUCACGGGCAGACACGCAAUGAGCCCCAUGACGACCACCGGCUCCUGUCUUGCAGGGCUUGGUGCGCUACGUUCACAGCAGCUCUCUCGGGUACCUGCCACUACGUGUUAGUCAUCCUUUGCUAGAAGCCAACGUGCCACGGAACUGAAAACAUGCAAUUCGGUGCAGGGUGUGCUCUGACAGUUGUUUUCCCCUGUCGCUGCAUGAGUAUGCCCCCACCCGGACGUUUCAUGCUGAUGUUUCGUCGUGGAGACAUACUGACCUUUCAGAUGAUUUGUGCUUAACUGGAAGCAGGAGACUGGCCCCAAUUUAACAGAGAUAUUCAUGUGUUUAAAGCCAAGUCUAAAGAACCUUGCUGGGCCCUCCAGCACCCUCAGGACAGUGUCCUCACCUCCAACGUGACCUCUGGGACGUGGGCUCGGCCCCAGGUCCGCUCCCAGCUGGGCACCUACUCUGCAAACAGCUUCAAAAGGACGUGGUAAUGGAAAAUGGGGAAUCCGGGAUUUGCAGCAGUGAUGUUCUUAUGGAGUAUUCAACAUUUUUUUACUGCAGAAUAUAAUGGGAGAAUCAGUCUUAUGGGAAAAUAGGUUUAGGUUGCAAUCUGGGCAGUUAUAUUUUUAACUCCGUUUAAUGAGGUUAAUGGCUUUUGCU